rnacentral:lncRNA from 1 species
UAUGUAAUUACUACACUCUAGUUUAUCCCCGUCAUACAAUUUCAUUUGGCGCAAUAAACAAGGAUAAAUGAUGCAUUCUUCUCAUAAAAAUUUAAGCUUCCUAAAAUUUGGGCGAAAUAGUCCAACUCAAUUCAAUAUGGCAAGAAACACAACUAACUGACUAAGUAUUAAUUAAUUCUCAUGAUGCUUUUCUUAUGUAGAUUCUUGAACAAGGGGCUAUCCGAUUUCAACUUGGCGCUGGACCUCGGGUUCUUGACAAAGGCUAGGAAGUACACCUUCUUCAAGCCCAAGUUCAUCUUCUACGCCACCUACCUGUCGGAGAAGAUCGGGUACUGGAGGUAUAUCACCAUCUUCAGGCACCUCAAGGCGAACCCGGAGUAUCAGGUGUACCCCAUCUUCAAGUACUUCGAGAACUGGUGCCAGGACGAGAACCGGCAUGGGGAUUUCUUCUCCGCGCUGCUUAAGGCGCAGCCACAGUUCCUCAACGACUGGAAGGCCAAGCUCUGGUCACGCUUCUUCUGCCUCUCGGUAAUGCCAAUCUAAUCCAUGUAUUUUCUUGCAUGAGCCUUGACAUGCCCCUCUUCUAACAGCUGACUGUAUAUCGGAUUCGCAGGUGUAUGUGACCAUGUACCUGAAUGACUGCCAACGUACUGCAUUCUACGAAGGAAUUGGUCUGAACACCAAAGAAUUUGACAUGCAUGUCAUCAUCGAGGUAAAUCGAACUUCAACUCCUUGUUUGUAUCAUGAACUGUGCGUCUUGGUUGCUUCUUUGUGUAGUGUUUUAGAUAGUUUCUGGACAACUGCUGAACAUGACAAUAGUGACAAUUGCACACCAUAACCCAUAUGAAUUAUAUGCAUAUGAGAAUAUUUGAGCUUCAACUUAAAUUAAGGCCACUAUCAAUGAUCCAAUGGGUGCAUAUUUCUGCAGACCAACCGGACAACAGCAAGGAUCUUCCCUGCUGUCCCCGACGUCGAGAACCCUGAAUUCAAGAGGAAGCUAGACAGGAUGGUAGAUAUCAACACGAAGAUCCUUGCCAUAGGAGAGUCCACCGACAUGCCCGUGGUGAAGAACCUGAAGAGGGUUCCUCUUAUUGCCCAACUGGUGUCUGAGAUCAUCGCCGCGUACCUCAUGCCCCCGAUCGAGUCUGGAUCUG